AUGGCUGUCGUCAGCUCGUGUCGUGAGAUGUUGGGUUAAGUCCCGUAACGAGCGCAACCCUUGUCCUUAUUUGCCAGCAUUUAGUUGGGAACUCUAGGGAGACUGCCGGUGACAAACCGGAGGAAGGUGGGGACGACGUCAAGUCAUCAUGGCCCUUACGACCAGGGCUACACACGUGCUACAAUGGAGCGUACAGAGGGUCGCGACCCUGCGAAGGUGAGCUAAUCCCAGAAAACGUUUCGUAGUCCGGAUUGCAGUCUGCAACUCGACUGCAUGAAGUCGGAAUCGCUAGUAAUCGCGAAUCAGCAUGUCGCGGUGAAUACGUUCCCGGGCCUUGUACACACCGCCCGUCACACCAUGGGAGUGGGUUGCAAAAGAAGUGGGUAGUCUAACUUCGGAGGACGCUCACCACUUUGUGAUUCAUGACUGGGGUGAAGUCGUAACAAGGUAGCCGUAGGGGAACCUGCGGCUGGAUCACCUCCUUAACGAGAUUCCCUAUCUCUUCAGUAAGUGCUCACCUCUAUUGCUUGAACCGCUCUUUGAGAACAAUUAGGGAGACCUGCCCCUUCGUUCGAUUUUCUUUCAGUAACCCUGUUGAGAAUCUGCGGUAUUCGUUUCUUUAACGAAUUGUUCUAAACGGAGCCGGGUCUGUAGCUCAGUUGGUUAGAGCGCACCCCUGAUAAGGGUGAGGUCGGUGGUUCAAAUCCACCCAGACCCACCAGCAUUAAUUGGACUCAUGUCUAAUUAAUUUGUUCUUUAACAAUUAGGUGAAUGAAGACAUAUGUAUGUUUGUUAGAUGUCUUUGCCCAUGGUGUUUGUGAUGAUCAUCGUGGCGAAAAGGCAUCACCCAAAUGUGUGUAUGCUGUAAUUUAACAAGUUAUACAAGUGCAAAAUCUGUACGGAAGUCGUUAAGAGUUGUGUAGUUUUCUAUGUGAUUAUGGUCCUGGAUUUAUACAAAAGCGGGGCGUUGAUUCUGCAGAAUUUAUGGAAAAGGGGUUUUACUCUCUAUCCUAAAAUAGAAUUCAUGAUUAUGUGGUCAAGCAACUAAGCGUACGUGGUGGAUGCCUUGGCAGCUAGAGGCGAUGAAGGACGUGGUAGGCUACGAAAAGCCUCGGGGAGCCGUCAAACAGGCUUUGAUCCGGGGGUGUCCGAAUGGGGAAACCCGG
rnacentral:sRNA from 1 species